UGGGGAAUAUUGGACAAUGGGCGAAAGCCUGAUCCAGCCAUGCCGCGUGUGUGAAGAAGGUCUUCGGAUUGUAAAGCACUUUAAGUUGGGAGGAAGGGCAGUAAGCGAAUACCUUGCUGUUUUGACGUUACCGACAGAAUAAGCACCGGCUAACUCGGUGCCAGCAGCUGCGGUAAUACAGAGGGUGCAAGCGUUAAUCGGAAUUACUGGGCGUAAAGCGCGCGUAGGUGGUUCUUUAAGUUGAAUGUGAAAGCCCCGCGCUCAACCUGGGAACUGCAUCCAAAACUGGCGAGCUAGAGUAGGGCAGAGGGUGGUGGAAUUUCCUGUGUAGCGGUGAAAUGCGUAGAUAUAGGAAGGAACACCAGUGGCGAAGGCGACCACCUGGGCUCAUACUGACACUGAGGUGCGAAAGCGUGGGGAGCAAACAGG
rnacentral:rRNA from 1 species